AUUGAACGCUGGCGGCAGGCCUCACACAUGCAAGUCGAGCGAGCGGCGGACGGGUGAGUAAUGUAUGGGGACUGCCCGAUAGAGGGGGAUAACUACUGUAAACGGUAGCUAAUACCGCAUACUAUCGGAUCACCCAUAUGGGAUUAGCUAGUAGGUGAGGUAAUGGCUCACCUAGGCGACGAUCCCUCGCUUGUCUUAGAGGAUGAUCAGCCACACUGGGACGGAUACACGGCCCAGACCACUACGGAGGCAGCAGUGGGGAAUAUUGCACAAGGGGCUCAAGCCUUAUGCAGCCAUGCCGCGGGUAUGAAGAAGGCCCUAGGGUUGUAAAGUACUUUCAGUAGUGAGGCGUUACCGACAGAAGAAGCACCGGCUAACUCCGUGCCAGCAGCCGCGGUAAUAC
rnacentral:rRNA from 1 species